GUCGAUGUUCUGUUUGGCAAUAUAGGAUCUAAAGAAAACCUUCAAGAAGUUGGACCAUGAUGUAAAUAUAGAGAAUUUUAUGUGUUCACGAAAGAAGUUUCAGAUGUGGCGAUGGAAGAAGUUCAGGGUGAUGGUAAUCUACUGAUUUCCAAUCAGGAAUUGAGGAAUCAAUUAAGGGUAUUGCAAGCUCAACUUAUAGGAGUACAAAAGAGACUGAGAUGCACCUUAUGGGCUUUUGUUUUUUGAAGUACUGCUUUUUCUUUCGAUUCUUGUGGAUCGUAUUGUUAGUGUUAGAUGG